rnacentral:tRNA from 1 species
UGGCGCAAUGGAUAGCGCAUUGGACUUCUAAUUCAAAGGUUGUGGGUUCGAGUCCCACC